GACGAACGCUGGCGGCGUGCUUAACACAUGCAAGUCGAACGGAAAGGCCCUGCUUUUGUGGGGUGCUCGAGUGGCGAACGGGUGAGUAACACGUGAGUAACCUGCCCUUGACUUUGGCAUAACUUCAGGAAACUGGGGCUAAUACCGGAUAGGAGCUCCUGCUGCAUGGUGGGGGUUGGAAAGUUUCGGCGGUUGGGGAUGGACUCGCGGCUUAUCAGCUUGUUGGUGGGGUAGUGGCUUACCAAGGCUUUGACGGGUAGCCGGCCUGAGAGGGUGACCGGCCACAUUGGGACUGAGAUACGGCCCAGACUCCUACGGGAGGCAGCAGUGGGGAAUAUUGCACAAUGGGCGGAAGCCUGAUGCAGCAACGCCGCGUGCGGGAUGAAGGCCUUCGGGUUGUAAACCGCUUUCGCCUGUGACGAAGCGUGAGUGACGGUAAUGGGUAAAGAAGCACCGGCUAACUACGUG
rnacentral:rRNA from 1 species